GUACACUCCUGCGGGAGGCAGCAGUGGGGAAUUUUGGACAAUGGGCGAAAGCCUGAUCCAGCCAUGCCGCGUGCAGGAUGAAGGCCUUCGGGUUGUAAACUGCUUUUGUACGGAACGAAACGGCCUUUUCUAAUAAAGAGGGCUAAUGACGGUACCGUAAGAAUAAGCACCGGCUAACUACGUGCCAGCAGCCGCGGUAAUACGUAGGGUGCAAGCGUUAAUCGGAAUUACUGGGCGGAAAGCGUGCGCAGGCGGUUAUGUAAGACAGUUGUGAAAUCCCCGGGCUCAACCUGGGAACUGCAUCUGUGACUGCAUAGCUAGAGUACGGUAGAGGGGGAUGGAAUUCCGCGUGUAGCAGUGAAAUGCGUAGAUAUGCGGAGGAACACCGAUGGCGAAGGCAAUCCCCUGGACCUGUACUGACGCGCAUGCACGAAAGCGUGGGGAGCAAACAGGAUUAGAUACCCUUGUAGUCCCAUGA
rnacentral:rRNA from 1 species